AGAACUUUGCAAGUUGCCAUAUAUAACUUCAAGACAAUGAUGUUUCAGAAUUUGUUCAAGAGAAGGUGCUUGUUGAGGUCGUUGCCGUUAGUUACAUGGAGCCAUGCCCAGUUUGCCCACUUGAAACAGACGAGGGAGAUAAUGUUAGCAGGCAUUGCAUUAAAACUAAAAUAAAAAUAAAUACUGGUAAUCUUCUGUUGAUAAUGUCAGUGCCUAUAUUGAUUAGCUCUUCCUCUUUUAGUCCAUUCUUCAAAUUGUAUGUGUCAAUCAGAUAACUUUGGACUCCACUCUCAACAUCUAUCUCUCCUUCAUCCUUAUAAGGAAACAGGAGAAGCUCCACCCUCUAAUGCUAUCACCUUUUGAACGGAGACAUUGUUAUAAUAGUAUCAUCAAAAACAAGUCAGUAUAGAUUAUAGUCUGACUCAUUUCCCUCU